GAGUUAGUCGAUCCUAAACGGUGGGUUAACUCCAAAUACAUAGAUACUUGUAUCUUGUACCGUGAAAGGGAAACAGGUUAAUAUUCCUGUACUAUAUCAAGGAGGUAAAGUGGUAACACAAAUGAACUCAAAUACAUCAGUAGAAUAACCAGGAAGAGUUCUCUUUUCUUUUUUAACAACUUCCUCGCAAGAGGUGUAUAAUGACCAUGGAAUCAAUUUAGUUGGAGAAAUGGUUUAAGAGUUGGUAGAGUAAUUCAAUUUCUGAAUUAUCUGGUUAGGUUCUAAUGGUACAUAAAAAUUUGAGGGAAUGAUCUUGCUUGAAUAGUCGUACUCAUAACCGCAGCAGGUCUCCAAGGUUAGAAGCCUCUAGUUGGCAGAAUAAUGUAGGUAAGGGAAGUCGGCAAAAUAGAUCUGUAACUUCGGG
rnacentral:rRNA from 1 species